rnacentral:lncRNA from 1 species
GAGCUUUCCAGAAAUCAACCCGCCGUCCGGGUUUGAUGUUUUUACGCGUCAGACCUUCGGUUUAUACGCAUAAUUACGUAUAAGCCCUCGGUUUUCGCGGAUAGGCCCUAAAAGUUUUGUUUUUCUCACAGAAAAGUCCCUGGAUCUUGUUUUAAUCAUAUCUUUUGCAUCUUAACUCCGUUUUUCGCGUUCUUUAUAUCCACGUGUUCGUUUUAAAGCGUAGAUCA